GUUCGGUUCGGUUUUUCUCGAUUUUAUUAUCAAUCGUCGUCGUAUUAUAAAAUACUACAGCGACGACCGCGGAGUCGUUAAGAAAUUUUUACUACGCGCUCGUAAAACCCGAAGGCGCGCGCUCCCGCGGAGUUUUACGACCCGUCCGGAUAUAUUUUAUCACGUAUACAUUUAUCCGCGGCGGCGACGACGACGACGACGACGACGACGGCACGACGAUGACCGUUUUUACGACAAAUUAAACGGUGUACUCGUAAAGCCCGCGAGAAAAGUGUUUUUCGCGUG